GCACUAAUGCACCGGAUCCCA
rnacentral:snRNA from 1 species